AUUUCUAAAACCCUGGAGGAAGUAUUGCAUAAUGACUUUUCUCUGUUUUACAUGACACUGGUAAUCACUGAAAUAAAAUACUUUUUAUUUCUAGAUUGAUGAACAUAGGAUAUGUGUGUGUGUAAGAAAACGACCACUCAAUAAAAAAGAAACUCAAAUGAAAGAUCUUGAUGUAAUCACAAUUCCUAGUAAAGAUGUUGUGAUGGUACAUGAAC